rnacentral:rRNA from 1 species
UUCUACGGGAGGCAGCAGUGGGGAAUUUUGGACAAUGGGCGAAAGCCUGAUCCAGCAAUGCCGCGUGCAGGAUAAAGGCCUUCGGGUUGUAAACCGCUUUUGUACGGAACGAAAAAGCUUCUCCUAAUACGAGAGGCCCAUGACGGUACCGUAAGAAUAAGCACCGGCAAAAUACGUGCCAGCAGCCCCGGUAAUACGUAGGGUGCGAGCGUUUAUUGGAAUUAUUGGGGGUAAAGCGUGCGCCGGGGGUUAUUUAAUCCCCAUGUGAAA